AAUAAUACGACUUCAUGCAUUAAUCAUGACUUGAGGGGGCUGUCAGCUGAUAAGCACCAAACAAGGCCACCGCCUCGGAGUAGGCAAAUGUUUUCUCCGUCUUCACGAAACGCAGGUACUGUAGUAGCUGUGGAUGAGUUGCCCAGCAACACCAUUUCCAGAGAACCAAGCUAGCAGUAUGUGGUUGGAUGGACAUGCACUGUUCUGCAUUAAUCCUCCACACAUAUAUUUAUAGCCACUUAGAUAUGAUGGACACAAUGAGCGGAGGGGUGGCGAUUCCAGAGAAGAGGAGGAGUGCAGUGUGAUCACACUCCUUUCCACAAAUAGGGCUCUGGGCUCAGAUUCACAGACGACAGAGAAAGAGGAAGGUUCACAUUCUGGAG